UUUGGUUUUUAUUAGGUUUGCUUCGGGGCUUUUAAAUAAAUACUACAAAAAUAAAAACAUAGAAAUGUAUAUUAAAUAUAUAAAGAUAUAGAGAUAUGUGCAACCAGAAAAGUAAAGAAAUAGAAGUAAUGCAAAUAUAUACAAACAGGUUUAUGUUUAAUCUAUAUAUCUACAUUAUAUUUAUUUAAUAGAUGUAUUAUAUAUAUAAUAAAUAUAUAUAUAAUUAAAAUGUAUAUAAUAUAUUUAAUAUAUAAUAAUAUAUGUAUACAUGUUAAAAUAAUAUAUUUUGAUACUUUAUAUAUUGUGUGUUAUAUAUAAAUGAAUAUAGUAUAUAAAUUUAAACACAUGUUGUGAAAAUAGAUGUUAAUUUUUUUUUUUUUUUUAUUUUCAUUGUUUUGGUAAGUUUCUCAGAGGCAAUCCUCCCGUUGCAGCUGCUGACAGCACUGAAAACCUGUGUGCUUCGUGGUGUCCAUCGCCCAGCUGGCAACGAUUCCCUGGUGUUUGGUGCAUUAAGUCACACCCAGCUGUGUGGGAUGGCAGGGGCUGGUUCUGGGGUAACAAGGAAACACAAGGCCUAAACACCUCUGGCUUGUCUGUCCAAGGAUCUGCCUCAAUUGUGGCUCCCAUCCUUCUGAAGAACUCUUCAGCACAGUUCAGAAAAGUCACCUGUCCAUUUGACCAGACUGUCUGCCUCUGAACACACGAGAUCCAGUGAACAGAGAAGUCAUCACACAGCCUUGGUACUCCAGACUUGGAUCAGAAGUGGAGCUGUCAGGACACAGUUGUGUCUGAACAAUACACAGACAGUUGCCAACAGAAAUUUUAUGUUGUUAUUAUGAUGUGGUGUUUCUAUUAAUUUUUCAGUUGUCCUUUGUUUUAAGAUUUAGAAGGGUUUGAGGAACAACUUGAACAUCGAAGCCCUCAGUCACCGAUCAGCUGCCAGCUGACAUCACAGGA